UUUGACUCUGGCCUGAAAUCAGGUAGGACUACCCGCUGAACUUAAGCAUAUCAAUAAGCGGAGGAAAAGAAACUAACAAGGAUUCCCCUAGUAACGGCGAGUGAAGCGGGAAGAGCUCAAAUUUGAAAUCUGGCAGUCUUCGAUUGUCCGAGUUGUAAUCUAUAGAGGCGUUUUCCGUGCCGGACCGUGUCCAAGUCUCCUGGAAAGGAGUAUCAAAGAGGGUGAUAAUCCCGUACUUAACACGACCACCGGUGCUCUGUGAUACGUCUUCUACGAGUCGAGUUGUUUGGGAAUGCAGCUCAAAAUGGGUGGUGAAUUCCAUCUAAAGCUAAAUAUUGGCGAGAGACCGAUAGCGAACAAGUACCGUGAGGGAAAGAUGAAAAGCACUUUGGAAAGAGAGUUAAACAGUACGUGAAAUUGUUGAAAGGGAAACGAUUGAAGUCAGUCGUGUUCUUUGGAUUCAGCCAGUUCUGCUGGUCUACUUCCUUGGAACGGGUCAACAUCAGUUUUGUCCGGUGGAUAAAGGUAGUAGGAAUGUGACUUCUCCGGAAGUGUUAUAGCCUAUUAUCACAUACACUGGGUGAGACUGAGGACUGCAGCUCGCCUUUAUGGCCGGCCUUCGGGCACGUUCGAGCUUAGGAUGUUGACAUAAUGGCUUUAAACGACCCGUCUUGAAACACGGACCC
rnacentral:rRNA from 1 species